CACACCGCCCGUCAAGCCAUGGAAGCCUGGAGCGCCCGAAGUCCGUGACCCGACUCGCAAGAGAGGGAGCGGCCGAAGGCGAGCCCGGUGACUGGGGCU
rnacentral:rRNA from 1 species